GUAUCCUACGGGACGCAGCAGUGGGGGAUAUUGGACAAUGGGGGGAACCCUGAUCCAGCGACGCCGCGUGAGUGAAGAAGUAUUUCGUUAUGUAAAGCUCUAUCAGCAGGGAAGAAAGUGACGGUACCUGAAAAAGAAGCUCCGGCUAAAUACGUGCCAGCAGCCGCGGUAAUACGUAUGGAGCAAGCGUUAUCCGGAUUUACUGGGUGUAAAGGGAGAGUAGGUGGCAGAGCAAGUCCGAAGUGAAAACCCAAAGCUCAACUAUGGGAAUGCUUUAGAAACUGCUCAGCUAGAGUGCAGGAGAG
rnacentral:rRNA from 1 species